UACGGAGGGUGCGAGCGUUGUCCGGAAUUACUGGGCGUAAAGGGCUCGUAGGCGGCCAACUAAGUCGGAUGUGAAAUCCCCAGGCUUAACCUGGGAACUGCAUCCGAUACUGGAUGGCUUGAAUCCGGGAGAGGGAUGCAGAAUUCCAGGUGUAGCGGUGAAAUUCGUAGAUAUCAAGCGGAACACCGGUGGCGAAGGCGGCCUUCUGGACAGUGACUGACGCUGAGACGCGAAAGCGUGGGGAGCAAACAGG
rnacentral:rRNA from 1 species